CCGGUCUGAACUCAGAUCACGUAAGAAUUUAAAAGUCGAACAGACUUAAAAUUUAAGCUUCUACACCUAAAAUUAUAUCUUAAUCCAACAUCGAGGUCGCAAUCCUUUUUAUCGAUAAGAACUCUCUAAAAAAAUUACGCUGUUAUCCCUAAAGUAACUUAAAUUUUUGAUCGUUAAAAACGGAUCAAUUAAUCAUAAAUUAAUGAUUUUAAAAAUUAAAAGUUCAUUAAAUUUUAAUAUCACCCCAAUAAAAUAUUAUUCAUUAUCAUAAAAUUAAAAAAUCUAAAAUUUUAAAACAACUUAAAUAUAAAGAUUUAUAGGGUCUUCUCGUCUUUUAAUAAAAUUUCAGCUUUUUUACUGAAAAAUAAAAUUCUACUAUAAUUUUAAAUAAGACAGUUAAUAUUUCGUCCAACCAUUCAUACCAGCCUUCAAUUAAAAGACUAAUGAUUAUGCUACCUUUGCACAGUUAAUAUACUGCGGCCAUUUAAAUAUUCAGUGGGCAGGUCAGACUUUUUAUACAUUCAAAAAGACAUGUUUUUGUUAAACAGGCG
rnacentral:rRNA from 1 species